rnacentral:rRNA from 1 species
UAACGAAUCUUCCGCAAUGCGCGAAAGCGUGACGGAGCAAUGCCGCGUGCAGGAUGAAGCCCUUCGGGGUGUAAACUGCUGUCAGGGUUCAGCAACACAAUGAGCAGAUCCAAAGGAAGAGCCGACUAACUCUGUGCCAGCAGUCGCGGUAAUACAGAGGGCUCGAGCGUUGCGCGGAGUCACUGGGCUUAAAGCGUACGUAGGCGGGCGUGCAGGCAUCGUGUGAAAUCCCCCGGACUCAACCGGGGGAACUGCUCGGUGAACCGCACGUCUUGAGGUCAGUAGGGGCGGUCGGAACGAUAGGUGGAGCGGUGAAAUGCGUAGAUAUCUAUCGGAACGCCGAAGGUGAAGACAGGCCGCUGGGCUGAUUCUGACGCUGAGGUACGAAAGCGUGGGGAGCAAACGGGAUUAGAAACCCUUGUAG